UGUGGGAGCGAGCCUGCUCGCGAUAGCGGAAUAUCAGUCAGCACCCAUGCGUCUGAUACACCGCCAUCGCGAGCAGGCUCGCUCCCACA
rnacentral:misc_RNA from 1 species